GAAGUUUAACCUAAAUAGCGUCUCACCAGCUGAUGUUCUUGCUUAGGCCUCGGGAAUGCCCAGCAUGUGUGUUGGACUGCAGGGCUGCCAGGUGGACAUGGAGGAGAGCAGGACCAGGACCAGUGGAUGAUCUACACCAGACUAAUCUACCAGCUGAUCUCCCUGCUCAGACACUGUAGUGUUCUCAGAUAGGCGCUCAUCUGCCUGGCCUGAGGAUUGAGGAAUGCAGGUGUGUGUGUGUGUGUGUGUGUGUGUGUGUGUGUGUGUGUGUGUGUGUGUGUGUAUAGUUCACUGAUGGAAGUAGAUCUUUGCUGCCUUAAGACCCGUUCAGGCCCUUUACAGCAGCACAGAACACAGUAAGACCAAUGAGUGUGCGUGUCUCAGGUGAAUGUCUUAUAUUUAUAAAUGUAAUUUGUUAAUAAAAAUAAAUCAAAUGUG